GCUUCCACGCCCCGCCCACCGAUGGCAACCAAAAUCACGUGACUCUAUACUCCGACAAACUUUGUAAACAACAUGGCGGGUGAUUUAGAACUCGUCCCUGACAACUUCACAAUAGCGUCGUUUAAUCACGCCUUUUCUGAGAAAAGUCUAUCAAAAGGUUUAAUUUAUUUUCAAGAAGGGUACAUUCACAACGUAACUAUUAACAAAAACAAAGAUAACACUGUAAUUAUUAGCGCAAGAUGCUUCCGAAGCAUGAGGAAGGGGGAAACACCUCACCGGCUUACUGUUGAUCUCUCAGACUCCGCUGUAACGGACGCGUAUUGUUCAUGUACUGCUGGGUAAACUUAACAGAGAGAAUUAAACCUGUUUUUACGAGUUCUUUUGCAUAUUUGUUGCUGUUUGGUGUUUUUGUUGUUAAAGAGGUAUUAUAAUUUAUAAUUUUUCAAAAGUUGCUACAUGUAUGUUUCGUAUUCAAUCAGCUGCUCCGAGUCCACUCCUUUUGUAAUAUUGACGGUAAAUUAUUAAUACACAUGUAUCAGGGUAAAACACUACGUAUAUGUUAUAUGAAAGGUAAAACUGAAUUGAUGGUUUUAUAAAAUAUAAAUUGGAAUCCUUGUGAUGAUACACUAUAUACCUGAAUUUUGUCAUAUUAAAUCUUAUUGCUAAACUAUUGACAAACAAUCAACAGUUCUUUGUCGCACAUAAAUAGUUUCACUAACAUAUAUUUACUUUUGCUGUUUUGUUGAUUUGUUCUAAUCUUCGUACUUUCAUCUGUGUAAAUAUUUAUAAAACUUCUAUUAUACUGUUAUUAAAGACAGCAAAUAUCCUAUAAUUCAUGAGAAAAUAAUCCAAAAAAAUUGCAGGGUUUCAGGUAAAUGCUCCCAUAUAGUUGGACUAUCAAAAUGUAUACAACAGUUCAAAGUUCUUGGUCUUAAGGAUGUCCCCACCGAGCAAUCUUGUACAAGCCUUCCCCAGCAAUGGAAUAUACCAAGAGGAAAUAAAAUACAGCCUGUUUCAAUAAAUGAAGUGUUGGUUGUUAAAGCUAAGGAAACUCACAAAAAAGUUCCAGUUCUUCCAAAAGAAAUUAAAUCCAGAGUACCCGAGUUGACAGAACGAUCACAUCAAAUGCUGAAGUCAUUGGAUGGACUACCAAUAUCAAAGUUGAAUACAAUACAUGUACCAACAAUAAAAAGUGAAUUUGGUGAUGUGAAUCUUGGGUCAGCUCUCAGCUAUCAGUCAAAAUCAAAGGGCAUACGAGUGAAUGAUGGAGUGUUAAUGUAUUGUGGAAAUACUACCUUUCCACAGACAUCAGUUGUGAAACUCCCCCCAUGGUACAAGGAAUUACUAACAGAAGAACUGAUCCCCUCUAAUCCAGAAGACAUAGAAAAAACAACAAGGAACCAAUAUGAAAAUCCUGUCUGGUUUAAAUAUCGGGCAAACCGCAUCACAGCAUCACAGAUGCAUCGAGUUGUAAAAAGGAAGAAACAACCAAAUGAUUUGCUGUUAAACUCCCUUUUUCAAAGUAAAUCAUCGACAAAGUCUGCAGCUACAGAAUAUGGAUUAAGUAGGGAAAAACUGGCCAGGGAGAAAUUAGCAAAACUCAAAUCAGUCCAAAAUGCACACCUUCAUGAUUGUGGACUGAUUAUCAAUAAUGCAUUCCCAUUUCUUGCUGCAACUCCUGAUGGUAAACUGUGUGAAAAUGGAGAGUGUGGGAUUUUUGAAAUUAAAUGUCCAUAUUUGGCCAGAGAUUUGUCAA